AAUAGAUACCCUGGUAGUCCACGCCGUAAACGAUGAGUGCUAAGUGUUAGAGGGUUUCCGCCCUUUAGUGCUGCAGCUAACGCAUUAAGCACUCCGCCUGGGGAGUACGGUCGCAAGACUGAAACUCAAAGGAAUUGACGGGGGCCCGCACAAGCGGUGGAGCAUGUGGUUUAAUUCGAAGCAACGCGAAGAACCUUACCAGGUCUUGACAUCCUCUGACAACUCUAGAGAUAGAGCGUUCCCCUUCGGGGGACAGAGUGACAGGUGGUGCAUGGUUGUCGUCAGCUCGUGUCGUGAGAUGUUGGGUUAAGUCCCGCAACGAGUGCAACCCUUGAUCUUAGUUGCCAGCAUUUAGUUGGGCACUCUAAGGUGACUGCCGGUGACAAACCGGAGGAAGGUGGGGAUGACGUCAAAUCAUCAUGCCCCUUAUGACCUGGGCUACACACGUGCUACAAUGGAUGGUACAAAGGGCUGCAAGACCGCGAGGUCAAGCCAAUCCCAUAAAACCAUUCUCAGUUCGGAUUGUAGGC
rnacentral:rRNA from 1 species